CACGUAGGCUGUUAUGUAAGUCAGGGGUGAAAUCCCACGGCUCAACCGUGGAACUGCCCUUGAUACUGCACGACUUGAAUCCGGGAGAGGGUGGCGGAAUUCCAGGUGUAGGAGUGAAAUCCGUAGAUAUCUGGAGGAACAUCAGUGGCGAAGGCGGCCACCUGGACCGGUAUUGACGCUGAGGUGCGAAAGCGUGGGGAGCAAACA
rnacentral:rRNA from 1 species